UCAUUGAUGGGCAGCUAAUCUCCAUUUGAAGCUCGUAAAUAAUGUCAGUUUCCCCAUUAAAAGCUACUAGUUUUUAGUGGGUAGCAUAAACUUUCCCAAUUCGGUGCUGUGAAUUAGAUUGUAAUGGCCGACAAUAAAUGUAGCCAACCAGUAAAGUGAUAGUUUUUAAGCCAUAAGAAUGCUC